CCCACCCACUUUCAAAAACGUUCCGCCGGCCCUGUUUAACUCUCUAUUUUGGUGUUAUUGUUUCGUCAGAAUGCCAUUUGGGCUGGUUAUGUCACAAGAUGUGUUCCAAAAGAAAAUGGACCAGUUGCUUGAAGGCUGCCCUGGUAUUAUAAGCUUCGCAGAUGACAUAGCAGUUUUUGGUAAAUCCAAAGACGAGCAUGAUAGGAAUCUGAGAAACCUCAUGGAAGCUGCAAAGAAAUAUGGUCUACAGUUUAACUCGUGUAAAUGCAGCAUAAAUAAACCGUAAUUAAAGUUCUUCGGGCUAAUAUAACUGACAAACCUAACGAAGCUACGUCACGUACUUGGUGUAAUCACUUACAUGGGCCCCUUUGUAUCAAGACUUCGCAGCGGAUUGGAAUUUUGAGAUUGUCAUGUCAUCGCUGAGAUAUGCCCAGUCUAACGGACUGGCAGAAAGACAAAUUCAAACAGUUCAAUUGCGAAUACUUAAGAAGACAAAAGCAGAUGGAGGUGACCCCCAAAAGGCUCUACUGAUAUUACGAUCAACACCAAUAGACAGUAUUAAGACGCAACUGCAAACACAUUCGAGACACAGUGGAAAUAAGGGACCACAGUGGAAAUAAGUUGCUUUUUUGUACUUUUCCGUGUUUUUAUCUUUGAAUGUAUUUUACUUAUAAUUACUUCAGAAUGAAUAAAUAAAUUUAAAAAAAAAACACCCCAGGAACACAAUCGCACCACCAAUCAGCCACAAAAUAGUAAUGAUACCAAUACUUCUCGUCCAGAGAGAAAGACUAAACCACCACAACGCUUAAUAGAAGAAGCAUAGAUAUGAUCCCAAUUGGUGUGAUAGAGAGUGAAGUGCUGGUAACCUCUCCUCUCAAAUAAGCUUACUGUACAUAUGUUGUAUGUGUUGACUUUUAGUUUUUGAUGAUGAUAGUUUUUUUAAAGGACAAAGAAUCAGUAACAGUUGGAACAUUUACGGACUUUGCGGACCAUUUAAUAAUCAUUAUUAUUCUAUGAAACCAGACAACCCCAAACACAUUGCGAAGUCAAUCAUAAUGUGAUUCAUUACUUAUUAAAGGGGGAUGUAAUAAUAUCAUGAUUGAAAGUGAGCCCUCUAUUUAAAGGAGCCCUCGGUUAAGAAAAGGACAGAUGAUGCGAGUUGGCAGACAUCUUGAAUAAACAACUUAUCUUGAAUUCUAAUCAGUCUUCUGUCUUUAUUUAACCAAGAUCACAACUUUACACGGGCAUAUUCUGUACAAUUUGUUUUCAAGUCUAAACACAGACUAUCUUUCAAGCCCAUUAACGUCGAUACUUCCUUGUCUACAACUUGGAAUUCCAUAUCAAAUUUCCUAUCUGACUGCUCACAAAUUAAUGUUGCACUUCCCAAAGAUCUAAUAGCUUGGCCUCCAAAACCAACAAGCUUAACUUGUUUUGAUGAAUCAAGGCAUUCUUCUUUAUUCAGGUAUUCCAAUGUUGUUUAGCUCAUCAUAUUGCACUUUGCACCUGUGUCAACUUUUAGUCUUAAUGUUUUAUUAUCAAUCAUCAUAUCAGUGCGGAUGUCUUCUUUCCCUUCUGUAUGUACCGAUUCAAUGUAAAAUGUUUCAAAUUCUUCCUCCACCUUGUCAAUUUCAUUCACCGAUUUUGACCAUGGACGAUGUACAGCAGGGGUCAGACAGACUGAUCCAAAAUUAUUCCACUUAUUACAUUGUUUCCCAUAUGUUGGACAUGUGUUGCCAACACCUUUAUGUUUGUAACCACACUUCUUACACUUUUGAUCAGUUUCUUGCUUUUUAGCCAUGUAAGCAUUUGGUUUUCUACUGACAACAUUUUUGUGUCCUUGUUUGAAGUUUGGUUUUCUUGCUAUUAAAUCUAUUGUUUCUUUCUUUUCUGGAUUAAUUAUCUUAGCAUCAACCUCAGCUCAUGAAUUUGACAAAUCUGUACAGCCUUGGCCAGUGCUAAUUCACUUUUUCUUAACAUUAUUUUGCGUACAUUUUCUUUCCUGAUCCCUAUUACUAGCCUGUCUCUGAGCAGGGAGAUGUAAACCUGAGUAAUUGAUCUUCUAAAUCUCGAUACUCACAAAGUUUUACCUUGUUUCUGAGAUCUGACAAGAAUUUCUGGAAUGGCUCUCCCUCUAGUUGUACCCUUGAAUUACAUCUGUAUCUUUCCAGAAUAACGUUUGUGCGAGGAUUACACAACUCUCUUAAUUUCCGCUUCAAGCCGUUUGGUGAUUCGGCUAGGAGCUCACCUUGUCCAUCAGGGUUUUUGGUCUCGCAGCUAAGUAUGAGAAUGAUCGUUCCCGUUCAGCCUCUGAUCCUACUAAAUUAAGAAGCACUGCUGCCUUAGUUUGCUUGCUUUUAUUAUUAUAUGCUCACCAUGUAAAUAAUGCACUACUACUGUAUUAAACAUGUCUUGUUCAACACAUGCGGCAACUUUAUCCCAGGGGUAAAACGAAGACUGAAGACCCAAAAACGAAGACCCCUAUUUUUCUCUUUCAUUUUGAUGAUAAUACGCCAGGCUGUCACAAAACCAAAAUUACGAAUUUUUUUGGGCGUCUGUGAAAUUUUCAAGGGUCUUCGUUCUUCGAAGACCGAAGACCCGAAAAACGAAGACCUCCAAUUACGCUCGUGGGAAAUUAAGUUCUUCUUAUACGUGUAAAAUUUGAUUGUAAGAAAAGGAAUUUUCACGAGUAUGAGGAAGUACCGGUAAAGUAAAAGCAGAGGUGCGCGUACAACAAUGGUCUUAUCUUUGCUUAAAUGUGACAGUGUCUUUUGUGGUGCCGGCGCGCCCGAAUAACUAGCUCGGUUCUUUUGCGGCGCGGGGUGGAUUACCGCCUGUCCAGGGUUGUUGUCCAGCGACUCUUGUGGCAAAGUUGACAUGUAUACACAGUAAAGCAAUAUAGCGUUCGAUGGGUGUACCUUGUGCGGAGACGUUAAUGCAUCUAAUUUCAUAUAGGCCUAUAUUUAGGUGUUUAUAAAUGUUGUAUAAACGAAUGAUGUACCAUAUUAUUAAUUUAAUGGUUAUGCUCUAUUCUCAACACAUCAUUAUACUAUACUGUAUUAUUUAUUAUUAUUCUUGAUCUCGAUCUUGAUAGGGUACUUGAAAAACACCGGCUGGAGUAUCACUCAAUGUUUGAAUAGUGGCGACAGAGGAGGGCUAGUCGGAGUUACCAAUAAGCUUGCAAAAGGCAGUAGAAUUAUUGAUUGAAGUAGAAGAAAAAUGGAGGGUAUUCCAGUCUUUAGCUAUGUUAUGGAAAAAAGAGUAAAGACAGCGAUUUGUCUUGGCCUUCGGUAUCUUUAAUGAAAGGGGGUUAUGGUUCCUAGUGCAGCUAGCAGCAGUUGCUCGUCUGUUGAAUUCCAAGUGGUUAUCAAACUUUAGAUCAAUAUUUUGAUGAACAAUCUUGUGCAUCAUUACUUAAUCUUGUGCAUUCGUUACUAUUAGGCAUAACAUUAUUAGUAAUAUUUAGGUCUAUUAUUAUAUUAGGCCUUAGUUGUAGGCCUACAACUUUUAUAAUCUACUCUACAGCAAAAUUUUAACGUACGGCACCAUCCUACCGGCACUGAUCUGCUACCGACCAACAUUGUUUUUCAACAUAAUUGAUGAAAUAUCUUCAAUCCUAAUCCUAAAUUCAAGAACUUCUUACAGUAAACGCACUUUAAACACCAUUCGCUAAGAAAAUAACUGUAGAAAUUCGUGCUGAACAAGUGUGCACGUCCGGAGAGUGAUGAAUUACCCAAAGCGAAUUCACGGGGCUGAGCACGUGCGACAGGACCUGUUCAACUGAUUGAAAGUUUAGUAUUUCAGUUCUGUUUAUAACACACGACAGAAAGCAAAUAACACCAUAGCAGAUGUCAAGAAAAUCUGAGACGGUACCCAGCCAUCCCAUUUGUUGAGUCUGCGCGGAAUGACCCUAUUUUAAACAAGUAAGAUUUUACUUGUGUUUUAAAAUAAUUGGUAGAUUUUGCACUACGAAGAUAUUGUGGCAAGGAAUUUCAUAAUUUUGUGCCAGCGAUGGAAAAAGCCCUUUAACCAUAAAUCUUUGUACGCACAGAUGAGAUAGUAAGCAGAUCAUUCGUGGAUAAACAAAGGGAGUGGGAUAGAAUAUAAGGGUUAACAAGUUCGCAGAUGUAAGAUGGAGCCAUACCAGCUUUGAAUGUAAGGAGUAGUGCAUCGUAUUGAAUCCUAAAGUGAACCGGUAGCCAGUGCAAAUCAAUAAUAAUCGGUGUUAUGUGUUCAUAUUUUCUAGUAAGACAUGUAAUAUGAGCUGCAGAGUUCUGGAUUCUCUGGAGUUUUGAUACGUCUUUAUCAGGAAGAUUGAUUAGGAGACUGUUACUUUCAUUGAGUACUAAGAAAUUGUCCAUCAUCCAAAUGUUUAUGUCGCAGAUACAUCUUUCCAGAUUGUCUAGAGCCGCUAAUAUUCCAUUGGGCUUCAACGUAAAAUAUAACUGCGUGUUGUCUACAUACAUAAUGCAGGAUAGACCAUGAGCUUUAACAAUGUCUUCAAUAGGAGAUGAGUAUGCAAUAAAAAGAAUUGGACCAGCAACAGAUCCCUGAGGUAUUCCCUAAUCUGCUGGAAAGGGGUCUGAUGAUUCAUCCCCAAAAAUGAUGCGUUGUUUGCGAUCUUUGAAGUAAGAAGAAAACCAACUAAGCGUGGAACCCUAAACCCGUACUUGUUCUUCAAGCAAUCAAGCAAAAUUCUAUGGUCAAUGGUGUCAAAGGCUGCCGUUAAGUCCAGAAGCACGACUCAUAGUAAGUCGUUAUAGACACGAGUCAAAGCUGUCUCCGUGCUGUGAUGAUUUCGAUAUGCUGAUUGAGAACUACCAAACAAGUCUUUUUCAGAAAGGUAAGUGACAAAUUGUUGCAUUGCACAUCGCUCAAUUACCUUCCCAAGAAGGUUAAGUUGGAAAUAGGCCGGUAGUUCUUCAUAAGUUCUGAAUCCAGACUUGGUCUCUUGAAAAGCGGUAGUACGGGUCCGGUUUUCAAGUCACUUGGAAACAGGCCCUGUUUAGGAGAUAAUGAAAAAAUAAUGAUAUCGGUGAUUGUUGGCAGAAUAAUAUCCAGACAUAACUUCAUUGUAGAUGCAGGCAGUGGAUCCAGUUGACAAGAUUUACUACUUGAGCACUUUAAAUUUUAAGAACUUCAUUUGGGUUUAGCUGUUCAAAUCUUGUAAAAUUGCUAUGGCAGUUUUCGUCAAGGUCCACUGAUAACUUCCGGGGCUCUGAUAUAAGCAGAGCAUGGCGAAACUUAUUUAUUUUUUCAUGAAAGAGAUUGAAAAACCUGUUAGCUAGAUCCUUUUUGUCUCUAUGUGAAGGUAUUUGGGUUGGAUUAUAUACUGACAGUUUUUCAACAACUCAAAAAAGCUGCCUUUGGUAACAUUUAGCACUCAAUCAGAAUAUACAGAAGUACUGGAUAUAAUUAAUAUAGAUAACACUAUUCAAUUCAAUCUGUUCAAAUACAUAUGGUAACUUUAAAAUAAAUUUGUUCUGUUCUUUAUUUAUGGUAAAUAUACAUCUAAUUGCAUCCUAUUAUCUAUUUCGGUUAUUUCAUAAACACCUGAUGAACAAAUUUUGCAGGUCACAUAAUGAUGUAAAUAGAAAUAAGGAAACAAACAAACGAAUCCAGAACAGGAAAACCUGUUAGCUAGAUCCUUUUUGUCUCUAUGUGAAGGUAUUUGGGUUGGAUUAUAUACUGACAGUUUUUCAACAACUCAAAAAAGCUGCCUUUGGUAACAUUUAGCACUCAAUCAGAAUAUACAGAAGUACUGGAUAUAAUUAAUAUAGAUAACACUAUUCAAUUCAAUCUGUUCAAAUACAUAUGGUAACUUUAAAAUAAAUUUGUUCUGUUCUUUAUUUAUGGUAAAUAUACAUCUAAUUGCAUCCUAUUAUCUAUUUCAGUUAUUUCAUAAACACCUGAUGAACAAAUUUUGCAGGUCACAUAAUGAUGUAAAUAGAAAUAAGGAAACAAACAAACGAAUCCAGGACUUUCCUUUAAAGGGAGCUCAAAUUAUAUAUUUUUAGUAAUUCAGGUAGAAAUGUUAAUGAUUUCUUUUAUGUCCUCUAAUCUAAAACCUAGUCGUUGCAUUUUUUAUAUAUUCCCUAGCUUCAUAAUUAGUAUAUUUUUUUGUUGUGUAGUUCAUACAUUUACACAGGAGAAUCAAUAGAAUUUUUUCCAUCUCAAACAAUGAUUUGGCUAUAAUGCAUUAUCAUAAUCUAUUCAUCAUUCUUCAGUAUCCCCCCCCCCACCAUAGUCUUAUUUUAAACGUGCCUUAAGGCUACAUUUACACUAGAAACGAUUACAACACGAAGACACAAUACAGAUGCGUGCAGUGUUGAAAA
rnacentral:lncRNA from 1 species